GUCUAUGGUCAUGCCACCAUAACACGCCCAAACCUGUCUGAUCUCAGAAGCUAAGCAGGGCCGGGCCUGGUUAGCACUUGGAUGGGAGACUACCUAGGAAGACCAGAUGCUGUAGGCA
rnacentral:rRNA from 1 species